rnacentral:rRNA from 1 species
GAUGAACGCUGGCGGCGUGCCUAAUACAUGCAAGUCGAGCGAAGCGGGGACGGGUGAGUAACACGUGGUUAUCCUCCUAUAAGACUGGGAUAAGUUUGGGAAACCGGAGCUAAACCGGAUACUUAUAGAUGUAUCCGCGCUGCAUUAGCUAGUUGGUAAGGUAACGGCACACAAAGGCAACGCUGCAUAGCCGACCUGAGAGGGUGAUGCGCCACACGCGAACUGAGUAACGGUCCAGACUCCUCCGGGAGGCAGCAGUAGCGAAGCGUCCGCAAUGGGCGAAUGCCUGAUGGAGCAACGCCGCGUCAGUAAUGAAGGUCUUCUGAUCGUAAAACUCUGUUAUUAGGGAAGCGGUACCUAAUCAAAAAGCCACGGCUAACUACGUUCCAGCAGCCGCGGUAAUUC